GGCACUUGUGCGUAUUUUUGUCUUAAAUUGUAGACUAAAACUUAAUGGACAGUUGUAAAAAAAAAGUUCUCUUUUGCAAUCUAGAAUUCAUUGUUCGUUAUGAGUUUUGAUAUAUAUAAGAAGAAAUAUU
rnacentral:snoRNA from 1 species